GUUUUUUUUCUUCCGUUUUUGUUUUAUACACUGUGCCCCGUUUCACUACCCGACACAGGCGACAAUAUAUAUUACUAUUAUACGCGGAGGGGAUCGUCCCCUUAAUACUUUCGAAUCGUUUUACGAACGAUAUUAACGUGUGUAUAGGUGAAUUAUAUUAUUAUACAUUAUAAUCACUGCGCGCGAUCAACGAUACGGUCACGCGAACGAUAAAUUAUUAUAA